GGCAGUGUAAGUAGCGUGUUUGCGUCGCCUGUGCCUUGGGUGAAAGAAACAAUAUAUGGCCGAUCGUCGGUGUGGUGGGGCUGCCAGGCGAGUGGGCGGAUUGACGCUGGUCUACCCUCACCCUCCUUCUAUGCACCCAGCUGGGUCUCUUCCUCUUCAGAAGCGUUGGGCCCACUUGUUAGCCUCUUUGGGUGGGUGUGGCACGAGGUGAGAGCUUGCGAGGUGGCCUGGUCCAUGAUUGGUGGUGUGGACGCCGGGUGGGAUACUGGGAUGCGAGCAGUAAAACCUAGCUACCAAUCCGCUCACGUCCUCGAGCCCCACGCAACUCCACUUUCUCUUCGUUUCUCUCCUCCUCGAUCUCCAGCGCAUGGCCGCCGCCGCUCAUCCUUCUCCUCUUCUCUCCCGUGCCACCAGGUUACUGGCCCCUCCACCUCGCCUUCCUUCUCUUCGUUGUCCGGUGGCCGUCGGCGGCGCCUGGAUCUGGAUCGGGUGCAGGUUAGUGAGGCCGGUGGUUGGGUGAAUCCGGGCGCGGAUCCGGUCGCUAGGCAGCAUGGGGCUGCGGAUCCGACGAGGUCACGGCGGCGGCCGCGGGUUCUCGUGGUGCUCUGCGAGAGAGAGAGAAGUGAGAGAGAGCCAUGGGAGGAGACGGAACAGAGAGGAGGGAGGGAUGCGGCAGGGCGGCGGUUGCUCCGGCCAUUAUUGUUGGCCGUGGGGAGGCGUGCUGAACCUGCUCGACCCAGUAGCGGCAGGUGCAGAGGCGCGUGCGAGGAGCGCAGUCGGUCGCCCGUCGUUCUUUCUUCGUCAAGAAGGGUGCAGCCUGCUACUCAACCCCUCUCCUUCGCUCCUUGCAGAGCAGGAGAGGCACGGGCGCCACCACACUGGAGAGAUGGACGAGGACAUGUUACAAAUUUGAAGGCAAAUAGAACAGCUACUCCACUGGCUAAAUAUUUUGCCUGCUUGGCAAAGUGUAAAAAGACAAUAGCUGCUCGGCAAAGUAUAAAAAGGCAAAGAGCUGAGAAAGAAGAGAAGAAGAGGAAUCUAGCAGAGGAAUGUGAAUAUUCUCUCUUGUGGAACACAAUAAGGUUUGUUCCUGCCAGCAAGCAAUACUGACCUCAUGCUUCUACUUACUGUUGCCUUGGUUAUAUUCAUCUAUACAGGGAAUUUCAACAUUUCAUGUACGUAAGCAUUUCUUUUGUUACAAAUUGUAUGCGCUCGACAAGGUGCAAAAAUGCAAAAAAGGUCAUUUAUAUAGCUAUUUUGAAUGUAAGGGCUGGAUCAUCUCUUGCAAUAAUUGUGAAAAAUUUGAGCGAUCCUUGGUCAUGUAUAUGAAUCUUGGCGGAUAAAAGUAGAUACAGCUGAUGUACACAUGACUUCGUGAGCGUCUGUCGAGGUUCUUAGAGAGAAAAAAAGCGUCUUUGAGACGCUUGAUCGUUCAUGCCAUGGUUGGAUGAGAAUGGAGAACUAUAAUGCAAAUGGAGGACUGUCCAUACAAAUUUUGUUUUAUUGGUCAGACUAUUUGUUCAUUUGGCUAUCUUAAUGCAUGAAGAUUUGGGAGGCAGGGAGGGAAUGCUCAAGUGGAAACAAAGUAAGGACCAAGCAGCUCAAGAUUUUACUACUACCUUCCUAAUAGCUUUGUGAGAAUCAGACAAUGCAUGGUGUGGGUCGAGAUGAUGUCCAGUCGCCUCCCUCAUCACCUAGACAACGCUACGGAGGGCUCAAAGGUUGAACCUGAAUGUGCUUCUUCCUAUCUCUGGUAGUUG